GAAUUGUAGAUCAGCAUCGAAUUGUAGUGAUGGUGCGGUGAUUUCGAAGCUUUGAUAGUCUUACUUACAUCAAGAUCGCCUUUCCGUUGAGGAGGGAGAUUAAGCUUCUUAAGAGAGGAAGGAGGCCCAGAAGAAUUAGCUAACUCCUGCUGAAUAAAAGUUUGUAAUGAGUUACCAAUACCUUUAAGAGAGAGAAUGUAAGCCAUGUGAGACUCAGUGAAGGCAAAACGCUGUUGAAUCGCUCGGUCAAGGUGGUCACAGCGCUCUCGGCAGAUUGCCACCGCCGAGAGAUCAUCGAUCUUCGAGCUGGCGCAGCCAUAGCCAUCGGCGCCUCUUCCUUUUCCCCUAUAACCUCUGCCUCCUCUCUCCAUUGGAGCUCGCACGAGAGAAUAAAGUAAGUCAAGAUAUGAGCCUUAGUCUCCAAGAAGCCCCUCUCAAGAUGUUAAGGAGAACUUUUGCAAGUUUGCAAAGAAGGGUCUUACACCAUCUCAGAUCGGUGUGAUUCUCACGGUAUUGCUCAGGUUAAGAGUGUUACUGGAAGUAAGAUUUUGCGUGUUCUCAAGGCCCACGAAGUUUUGAAAUGGAUAGAAGUUUCCAACGAAGAGAUCAAUGCAAUACGGGAUGAGUGGGCCGAUUUUGUGAAGCCUUUGAUUAUAGAUUAAGUACAAGGUUACUACUUUUGUUAUAAUACAUGAGUAACAAGUUUUAUGAUUGUUGUUAACUUUUACAUGUGUAAUUUACGAUAUGCAUGGAAUUUAAAUUUUAAUAUCGAUUUUAUAAUUAACCUCACGUUAAAAAAUCAUGAGCAACUUUUGUUAUAAAAUAUAAUAUAAUUAACCCUAGUCAUUAAUCAUGAAGUUAUAUGUUAUUAUAAUCUCUAUUCAAUAGAUUCAUGAUAUGCUACUUUGAAAGUAUAUAU